CGGAGGGUGCGAGCGUUGUCCGGAAUCACUGGGCGUAAAGGGCGCGUAGGUGGCUUCUCAAGCGCGCGGUGAGAGCCCGGGGCUCAACCCCGGGUCGGCCGUGCGGACUGGGAGGCUCGAGCACUGUAGGGGCGGGUGGAAUUCCGGGUGUAGCGGUGGAAUGCGUAGAGAUCCGGAAGAACACCGGUGGCGAAGGCGGCCCGCUGGGCAGGAAGGCUCGCAAGAGCCGGCUGACACUGAGGCGCGACAGCGUGGGGAGCAAACAGGAUUAGAUACCCUGGUAGUCCACGCCGUAAACGAUGGGCACUAGGUGCUUGGGGGAGCGACCCCCCGGGUGCCGGCGCUAACGCAUUAAGUGCCCCGCCUGGGGAGUACGGCCGCAAGGCUG
rnacentral:rRNA from 1 species